rnacentral:lncRNA from 1 species
AUCUAUAUAUUAUCUGUGACGCCCCAACUUCCCAGGGGGUCACCCAUCCAAGGACUACUCCCGUCCCAGCACGCUUAACUCUCUUAACCUCUUGGGCCUUGCCACCACCCAAAAUGCUUAAGUUGGGUUAAGAGUUUAGCCCUAUUAUAUUUCAUAUAUAGGAUUAUCUGGGGUCUCACAAUCUCCCAUCUUUUAAGCCCUGACGUCCUCGUCAGGCUCAGACUCACAAGUACCAGGCGAUGUGAGACUCGUCUCGCUAGCCCGUCAUCCAGACUCUGGCUUAGCCGAGACUCAUCUCACACUUCCGGCUGGUAAUUGGCUUUGAUAUCAUAUAUGACGCCCCAACUUCCCAGGGGGUCACCCAUCCUAGGACUACUCCCGUCCCAGCACGCUUAACUCUCUUAACCUCUUGGGCCUUGCCACCACCCAAAAUGCUUAAGCCGGGUUAAGAGUUUAGCCCUAUUAUAUCUCAUAUAUAGGAUUAUCUGGGGUCUCACAUUAUCUAAUAAUUGUAAAGUUUUCUAUUCCAUCUCCUUUCCUUUUCAAAUAUUUAAAUGACCAAUAUAUUCAAUCUCUCUUUUACUAUAUCCCAUCAAUCUAUACGCCUGUCCUUCCCAUAUACCUACUCGCUUGUGUCCAU